AGUGAACGCUGGCGGUAGGCCUAACACAUGCAAGUCGAACGGCAGCACAGUAAGAGCUUGCUCUUACGGGUGGCGAGUGGCGGACGGGUGAGGAAUACAUCGGAAUCUACUUUUUCGUGGGGGAUAACGUAGGGAAACUUACGCUAAUACCGCAUACGACCUACGGGUGAAAGCAGGGGAUCUUCGGACCUUGCGCGAUUGACUGAGCCGAGGUCGGAUUAGCUAGUUGGCGGGGUAAAGGCCCACCACGGCGACGACCCGUAGCUGGUCUGAGAGGAGGAUCAGCCGCACUGGAACUGAGACACGGGCCAGACUCCUACGGGAGGGAGCAGUGGGGAAUAUUGGACAAUGGGCGCAAGCCUGAUCCAGCCAUACCGCGUGGGUGAAGAAGGCCUUCGGGUUGUAAAGCCCUUUUGUUGGGAAAGAAAAGCAGCAGGUUAAUACCCCGCUGUUCUGACGGUACCCAAAGAAUAAGCACCGGCUAACUUCGUG
rnacentral:rRNA from 1 species